rnacentral:rRNA from 1 species
UAAGCGACUAAGCGUACACGGUGGAUGCCCUGGCAGUCAGAGGCGAUGAAGGACGUGCUAAUCUGCGAUAAGCGUCGGUAAGGUGAUAUGAACCGUUAUAACCGGCGAUUUCCGAAUGGGGAAACCCAGUGUGAUUCGUCACACUAUCAUUAACUGAAUCCAUAGGUUAAUGAGGCGAACCGGGGGAACUGAAACAUCUAAGUACCCCGAGGAAAAGAAAUCAACCGAGAUUCCCCCAGUAGCGGCGAGCGAACGGGGAGGAGCCCAGAGCCUGAAUCAGUGUGUGUGUUAGUGGAAGCGUCUGGAAAGGCGCGCGAUACAGGGUGACAGCCCCGUACACAAAAAUGCACAUGCUGUGAGCUCGAUGAGUAGGGCGGGACACGUGGUAUCCUGUCUGAAUAUGGGGGGACCAUCCUCCAAGGCUAAAUACUCCUGACUGACCGAUAGUGAACCAGUACCGUGAGGGAAAGGCGAAAAGAACCCCGGCGAGGGGAGUGAAAAAGAACCUGAAACCGUGUACGUACAAGCAGUGGGAGCACGCUUAGGCGUGUGACUGCGUACCUUUUGUAUAAUGGGUCAGCGACUUAUAUUCUGUAGCAAGGUUAACCGAAUAGGGGAGCCGAAGGGAAACCGAGUCUUAACUGGGCGUUAAGUUGCAGGGUAUAGACCCGAAACCCGGUGAUCUAGCCAUGGGCAGGUUGAAGGUUGGGUAACACUAACUGGAGGACCGAACCGACUAAUGUUGAAAAAUUAGCGGAUGACUUGUGGCUGGGGGUGAAAGGCCAAUCAAACCGGGAGAUAGCUGGUUCUCCCCGAAAGCUAUUUAGGUAGCGCCUCGUGAAUUCAUCUCCGGGGGUAGAGCACUGUUUCGGCAAGGGGGUCAUCCCGACUUACCAACCCGAUGCAAACUGCGAAUACCGGAGAAUGUUAUCACGGGAGACACACGGCGGGUGCUAACGUCCGUCGUGAAGAGGGAAACAACCCAGACCGCCAGCUAAGGUCCCAAAGUCAUGGUUAAGUGGGAAACGAUGUGGGAAGGCCCAGACAGCCAGGAUGUUGGCUUAGAAGCAGCCAUCAUUUAAAGAAAGCGUAAUAGCUCACUGGUCGAGUCGGCCUGCGCGGAAGAUGUAACGGGGCUAAACCAUGCACCGAAGCUGCGGCAGCGACGCUUAUGCGUUGUUGGGUAGGGGAGCGUUCUGUAAGCCUGUGAAGGUGUGCUGUGAGGCAUGCUGGAGGUAUCAGAAGUGCGAAUGCUGACAUAAGUAACGAUAAAGCGGGUGAAAAGCCCGCUCGCCGGAAGACCAAGGGUUCCUGUCCAACGUUAAUCGGGGCAGGGUGAGUCGACCCCUAAGGCGAGGCCGAAAGGCGUAGUCGAUGGGAAACAGGUUAAUAUUCCUGUACUUGGUGUUACUGCGAAGGGGGGACGGAGAAGGCUAUGUUGGCCGGGCGACGGUUGUCCCGGUUUAAGCGUGUAGGCUGGUUUUCCAGGCAAAUCCGGAAAAUCAAGGCUGAGGCGUGAUGACGAGGCACUACGGUGCUGAAGCAACAAAUGCCCUGCUUCCAGGAAAAGCCUCUAAGCAUCAGGUAACAUCAAAUCGUACCCCAAACCGACACAGGUGGUCAGGUAGAGAAUACCAAGGCGCUUGAGAGAACUCGGGUGAAGGAACUAGGCAAAAUGGUGCCGUAACUUCGGGAGAAGGCACGCUGAUAUGUAGGUGAAGUCCCUCGCGGAUGGAGCUGAAAUCAGUCGAAGAUACCAGCUGGCUGCAACUGUUUAUUAAAAACACAGCACUGUGCAAACACGAAAGUGGACGUAUACGGUGUGACGCCUGCCCGGUGCCGGAAGGUUAAUUGAUGGGGUCAGCGCAAGCGAAGCUCUUGAUCGAAGCCCCGGUAAACGGCGGCCGUAACUAUAACGGUCCUAAGGUAGCGAAAUUCCUUGUCGGGUAAGUUCCGACCUGCACGAAUGGCGUAAUGAUGGCCAGGCUGUCUCCACCCGAGACUCAGUGAAAUUGAACUCGCUGUGAAGAUGCAGUGUACCCGCGGCAAGACGGAAAGACCCCGUGAACCUUUACUAUAGCUUGACACUGAACAUUGAGCCUUGAUGUGUAGGAUAGGUGGGAGGCUUAGAAGUGUGGACGCCAGUCUGCAUGGAGCCGACCUUGAAAUACCACCCUUUAAUGUUUGAUGUUCUAACGUUGACCCGUAAUCCGGGUUGCGGACAGUGUCUGGUGGGUAGUUUGACUGGGGCGGUCUCCUCCUAAAGAGUAACGGAGGAGCACGAAGGUUGGCUAAUCCUGGUCGGACAUCAGGAGGUUAGUGCAAUGGCAUAAGCCAGCUUGACUGCGAGCGUGACGGCGCGAGCAGGUGCGAAAGCAGGUCAUAGUGAUCCGGUGGUUCUGAAUGGAAGGGCCAUCGCUCAACGGAUAAAAGGUACUCCGGGGAUAACAGGCUGAUACCGCCCAAGAGUUCAUAUCGACGGCGGUGUUUGGCACCUCGAUGUCGGCUCAUCACAUCCUGGGGCUGAAGUAGGUCCCAAGGGUAUGGCUGUUCGCCAUUUAAAGUGGUACGCGAGCUGGGUUUAGAACGUCGUGAGACAGUUCGGUCCCUAUCUGCCGUGGGCGCUGGAGAACUGAGGGGGGCUGCUCCUAGUACGAGAGGACCGGAGUGGACGCAUCACUGGUGUUCGGGUUGUCAUGCCAAUGGCACUGCCCGGUAGCUAAAUGCGGAAGAGAUAAGUGCUGAAAGCAUCUAAGCACGAAACUUGCCCCGAGAUGAGUUCUCCCUGACCCUUUAAGGGUCCUGAAGGAACGUUGAAGACGACGACGUUGAUAGGCCGGGUGUGUAAGCGCAGCGAUGCGUUGAGCUAACCGGUACUAAUGAACCGUGAGGCUUAACCU